GUGUCAGCAGCCGCGGUAAGACAGAGGGUGCAAGCGUUGUUCGGAAUUAUUGGGCGUAAAGGGCGCGUAGGCGGCGACUAAAGUCAGAUGUGAAAUCCCUGGGCUCAACCCAGGAAGUGCAUCUGAUACUGAGUUGCUUGAAUCCCGGAGAGGGUGGUGGAAUUCCUGGUGUAGAGGUGAAAUUCGUAGAUAUCAGGAGGAACACCGGUGGCGAAGGCGACCACCUGGACGGAGAUUGACGCUGAGGCGCGAAAGCGUGGGGAGCAAACAGGAUUAGAUACCCUGGUAGUCCACGCUGUAAACGAUGGGUGCUAGGUGUUGUGGGUAUUGACCCCUACAGUGCCGACGCUAACGCAUUAAGCACCCCGCCUGGGAAGUACGGCCGCAAGGCUAAA
rnacentral:rRNA from 1 species